AUGCCUCCCUUCCACGAUUGCCGCGAUGGCGGUCUGCUUGUUCUGGACCCGGCUGCGGCGAUGUUCGGCGGCGUGAGGCAGCGGAAGCGCGCGCGCGUGACGGCCGUGCCCCCCUGCGUCUUCGCCGCCGCGGCUGCGGAGGAGGAGGCGCUCAGGGCGGCGCCGGCGGCCAAGAGGCAGAGGCAGAGGGAGGCGCCGACCCUCGACGCGCUCCCGGACGGGUGCCUCUUCGAGAUCCUGCGCCGCGUGCAGGGCGCCCGCGCGCGGGGCGCCUCCUCCUGCGUCUCCCGCCGCUGGCUCGCGCUGCUCGGCGGCAUACGCGCCUCCGAGAUCAAGCGGGCCCCGGCCGUUCCGGACCUCAACCAGGUCUUCGUCUGCGAGGACGAGGACGAGGACGAGGCCGCGGACGCGCGCCCGGGCCGCUCCGAGAGGACCCUCGAGGGCGAGGGCGCCACGGACGUCGCGCUCACCGCGGCGGCCGUCGCCGACGGCCUCCGCGGCAGCCUGGAGAGCGUCGUUGUCCGGGGGAGCCACCCCACGCGCGGCGUCACCGACAGCGGCCUCUCCGCGGUCGCCCGCGGGUGCCCGUCGCUGCGCUCGCUCGCCAUGUGGGACGUGCCGCAGGUGACGGACGCGGGGCUCGCCGAGAUCGCCGCCGGGUGCCCCUCGCUAGAGAAGCUCGACAUCACCGGCUGCCCGCUGGUCACCGACAAGGGCCUCGUCGCCAUCGCUCAGGGAUGCCCGGAUUUGAAGACGCUGACCAUCGAGGCAUGCUCUGGCGUUGCCAAUGAGGGCCUCAAGGCUAUCGGAAGGUCCUGCUCCAAGCUGCAGGCGGUGAACAUCAAGAACUGUGCAUAUGUUGGUGACCAGGGAGUGUCUGGCCUCAUCUGUUCCGCGUCAGCCUCGCUUGCCAAGGUCUGCCUUCAGGGUUUGAGCAUCACUGAUGCUUCUCUUGCUGUGAUUGGGUACUAUGGAAAGGCGAUCACAAACCUCACCCUCACUCGCCUGUCCGCGGUUGGCGAGAGGGGUUUUUGGGUCAUGGCAAAUGCCCUUGGCCUGCAGAAGCUCAGAUGUAUGAGCAUCACCUCAUGCCCAGGAGUCACCGAGCUGGCACUUGUUUCCAUUGCCAAGUUCUGCCCGAGCUUGAAGCAGCUUUACCUCAGGAAGUGCAGCCAAAUCUCAGAUGGUCUUCUCAAGGAUUUCGCAGAAGCAGCCAAGGUUUUGGAGAACUUGCAGAUUGAGGAAUGCAACAGGAUUACUCUCAUGGGCAUCCUUUCUUUCCUCCUGAACUGCAGCCCCAAGUUCAAGACUCUCUCUUUGGUGAAGUGUACUGGUAUCAAGGACAUCUGCUCUGCACCUGCACAGCUCCCUGUUUGCAAAUCACUUCGGUCCCUUACCAUCAAGCAGUGCCCGGGAUUCACCGAUGCGAGCUUGGCUGUGGUUGGCAUGAUCUGCCCUCAUUUGGAGAAUCUUGACCUGAGCGGUCUUGGCGCAGUCACCGACGAUGGCCUCCUUCCCUUGAUCAGGAGUUCUGAAAGUGGUCUGAUUCAUGUUGACUUGAAUGGUUGCGAGAAUCUCACAGAUGCAGCUAUUUCUGCCCUGGUGAAGGCGCACGGCACUUCUCUUGCACAUCUGAGCCUUGAGGGCUGCAGCAAGAUAACUGAUGCGAGUCUGUUUGCCAUUUCCGAGAGCUGCUCUGAGCUCGCCGAGCUUGAUCUUUCAAACUGCAUGGUCAGCGACUAUGGUGUUGCGGUGUUGUCAUCCGCGGAGCGGCUCAAGCUCCGUGUCCUCUCACUGUCUGGCUGUCUCAAGGUCACACCCAAGAGUGUGCCCUUCCUGGGAAGCAUGCCUGCGUCAUUGGAGGGCCUCAAUCUCCAGUUCAACUUCAUCGGCAACCACAACAUUGCAUCACUGGAGAAGCAGCUCUGGUGGUGCGACAUCCUUGCUUAA
rnacentral:rRNA from 1 species